UACGGGGGGGGCAAGCGUUGUUCGGAAUUACUGGGCGUAAAGGGCUCGUAGGUGGCCAACUAAGUCAGACGUGAAAUCCCCAGGCUCAACUUGGGAACUGCGUCUGAUACUGGAUGGCUUGAAUUCGGGAGAGGGAUGCGGAAUUCCAGGUGUAGCGGUGAAAUGCGUAGAUAUCUGGAGGAACACCGGUGGCGAAGGCGGCAUCCUGGACCAACACUGACGCUGAUGAGCGAAAGCCAGGGGAGCAAACGGG
rnacentral:rRNA from 1 species